GAUGAACGCUGGCGGCGUGCUUAACACAUGCAAGUCGAACGAAGCACUUGAAAACGAUUCUUCGGAUGAAGUCUUUUGUGACUGAGUGGCGGACGGGUGAGUAACGCGUGGGUAACCUGCCUCACACAGGGGGAUAACAGUUGGAAACGACCGCUAAUACCGCAUAAGCCGCCGGUGCCGCAUGGCACUGACGGAAAAGAUUUUAUCGGUGUGAGAUGGACCCGCGUCUGAUUAGCCAGUUGGCACGGUAACGGCCUACCAAAGCGACUAUCAGUAGCCGGCCUGACAGGGUGAACGGCCACAUUGGGACUGACACACGGCCCAGACUCCUGCGGGAGGCAUCGGUGGGGAAUAUUGCACAAUGGGGGAAACCCUGAUGCAACGACACCGCGUGAGUGAAAAAGUAUUUCUGUAUGUAAAGCUCUAUCAGCAUGAAAGAAAAUGACGGUACCUGAUUAAUAAGCCCCGGCUAACUACGUGCCACCAGCCGCGGUAAUACGUAAGGGGCAAGCGUUAUCCGGAUUUACUGGGUGUAAAGGGAGCGUAGACGGUGAUGCAAGUCAUAAGUGAAAGCCCGGGGCUCAACUCCCGGACUGCUUUUGAAACUGUGUGACUGGAGUGCAAGAGUGGUAAACGGAAUUCCUGGUGUAGCGGUGAAAUGCGUAGAUAUCAGGAGGAACACCAUUGGCAAAGGCGGCUUACUGGACUGUAACUGACAUUGGGGCUCGAAAGCGUGGGGAGCAAACAGGAUUAGAUACCCUGCUAGUCCACGCCGUAAACGAUGAAUAUUAGGUGUCGGGGAGCGAAGCUCUUCGGUGCCGCACCAAACGCAUUAAAUAUUCCACCUGGGGAGUACGUUCGCAAGAAUGAAACUCAAAGGAAUUGACGGGGACCCGCACAAGCGGUGGAGCAUGUGGUUUAAUUCGAAGCAACGCGAAGAACCUUACCAGGUCUUGACAUCCCUCUGACCGGGAUUUAACCAUCCCUUUCCUUCGGGACAGAGGUGACAGGUGGUGCAUGGUUGUCGUCAGCUCGUGUCGUGAGAUGUUGGGUUAAGUCCCGCAACGAGCGCAACCCUUACCUUCAGUAGCCAGCGGUUCGGCCGGGCACUCUGGAGGGACUGCCAGGGACAACCCGGAGGAAGGUGGGGAUGACGUCAAAUCAUCAUGCCCCUUAUGAUCUGGGCUACACACGUGCUACAGUGGCGUAAACAAAGGGAAGCGAGACAGUGAUGGCAAGCAAAUCUCAGAAAUAACGUCUCAGUUCAGAUUGCAGUUUGCAACUGGAUUGCAUGAAGCUGGAAUCGCUAGUAAUCGCGAAUCAGAAUGUCGCGGUGAAUACGUUCCCGGGUCU
rnacentral:rRNA from 1 species